rnacentral:ncRNA from 2 species
ACGGCGAGCCGUGACUGGCGCGCAGGGAUGGGGUCAACCAUCGGGGAGCGGCUCGUCGCCACCACACAUGUGCCGUGCGCCUGGGCCGUCCCG